CGCAGGAGGUAACACCUCUCCACCGCGAGGUGAGGAUCAGAGCAACAGAGACGAGUCGCGGCGGGCAACCGCCGCGGGUGAAACGGGCAAUCUCUGCGCGCAGCAAUACCAAAUAGGCCGGCGUUGAUGUGGCUCCGCGGAGCCGGCGGGUAGGUAGCACCGAGCCGUCUGGCGACAGACGGCCCAGAGGAAUGGCGGUCACAUCACGGGCAACCGUGGUGCACAGAAUCCGGCUUAUCGGCGGACUUCACAC
rnacentral:RNase_P_RNA from 1 species